GUGAAUGCGGUCCUGUAAAUGCUGGCGAUCUUGUAGCAGUGCUGAUUAGCGAGUUGCUCCAACACCUCCUCAUAAUUUUUUCCUGCUCAUCACUCACCUGCUUUGUCAAAAUGAACAAGAAGGAAGCAUGAUUGAGCUGUGCACCGAGGCGGCAAGGAAGCCCUGGAUGACCCUCUUAACAGAGGCUGCCAAGGCUCCAGCGCCCACUUUCUCAGCCUCCCUUGCUGCUCAGGAUGAAAUAUGUAGAGCUGGAGAAGAGACAUGGUUAGUCCUUACGUCCUGCCUUAAAUGAUGAUGUGAUGGCCAUUAUCUGGAUCCUUCAUGGAAUUUCGGCAGUUCCAACGUGUCAGGCCAGUGUCUGGGAUUCUCUCAGCCUUUCGCUUUUUCCCCUGGGAGUCGGACAGCUGCUGCAGCUCAGUCAGACCAAACCUCUCUGAAUACCACCAAGAAUCGGGAUCUUGUUCUGUUGUCCAGGCUGGAGUGCAGUGGUACAAUCACAGCUCACUGCAGCCUUAACCUCCUGGGCUCAAGACAUCCUCCCACGUCUGCCUCUCGAGUAGCUCGGACCACAGACCAUCUGUUGGAUCUCAUGGAGCUGUCUCCUAUUUCUCUGUAAUCAAGCCACAGUAUCUAACAUUUGGGGCCACUGGUAACUUGCCGUCUACUCCCAUGCUGGAAGCCCAGGACCCUUGAACAUAAGAGGCGCCUUCUGACACCUGCGGUGCUGUCAGAGCCUGCAGGCUGCAGACAGUGAGUCAGGAACUGGAGAAUUCCCAGGAGUGGUAUAAGGAGCUGGGACUCGCGUCAGACAGGGAAAGGACUGACAGAGACCAGGACAGAACAAGAAGCACAAGGAAAGUCAAGAGGAGAGUAAUGACCGCAAUCCCAAGGUAGACUGGACUGGAGUGUCUGGAGGGUCCGACAGGAGAAGGGCAUUUGUGUUCAUCACGGAGCUACUAGGAGAAAGAAGAGCCUGGGUCUUAGCAAGGAUGUGGUCAGGACACAACAAUAGAGUGGACCCCUCCAGUGAGUGUGGACUAUGACUUAUGGCAGGCCCAAGGGUCCCAGCGCAGGGUGGGGUGGGGAGGGCAUGGCUUGCUGUAGCAUCACGCACUGCUAGUCACCAUCUACCCAGUACAGGUCACCAAUGAUGGAACAGCUACAGCCUCCUCCCCUUCCCCUGUACUCCCUGUGCCCCCUUCUUUUUUUUUUUUGAGAUGGAGUCUCGUUCUGUCACCCAGGCUGGAGUGCAGUGGCGCGAUCUCGGCUUACUGCAAGCUGCGCCUCCCAGGUUCACGCCAUUCUCCUGCCUCAGCCUCUCGAGUAGCUGGGACUACAGGCACCUGCCACGAUGCCUGGCUAAUUUUUUAUAUUUUUUAGUAGAGGUGGGGUUUCACUGUGUUAGCCAGGAUGGUCUCGAUCUCCUGACCUUGUGAUCCGCCCGCCUCAGCCUCCCAAAGUGCUGGGAUUACAGGCCUGAGCCACCGCGCCCGGCCCCUGUGCCCCCCUUCUUAAACAUGUUCUCAACAGUGGUUUAGCGAUACCCAAGCAAGGCCUUUGCAUAUGUGGGAAGUUGUGCACCAUGCAAGAGUGCCACAUGCAAACAGCACCUUUCCCCGUGUAGACACUGUAGAUUUACAUACCCUUACCACAUACCCUUCCAGGAACAGGGAAGCAAAGGCUCUUGAGGAAGAGAUUUCCCACAAAGGUGCUAUGUGGGUUAGUGUUGGCAUGCUCACCAAGAGAUAUUUCAAGCUAUUUCCAAGGGUAUUGGAAAAAUCAUUUAUAAGCAAAUUCUUUUUUUACUUAUGGAAAAUUUUAAGCAUAUACAAAAAUAGACAACAGUAUCAUGAACCUCUACAUAUCCAUCACAUGCAACUUCUUUUUAAUUCGCUUAAAUUUAAAAAUAGAUACGUGAAAUAAAGCAUUUGGGGCAGAAGUUCAUUGCAAAAUCAAAUGAUAGAAUUUCACAGCUCCUAGGCAAUCAAAUACUCCCCUUGUGCCAUAAGGAGAUUUAGGCCUUUUAUUUCCUUUUCUUUUACAAUUUGUUUUCUUUGCUAUCAUUCAUAUGUAGAGUUCUCCUGCAGUAUGUAGAAGGUGGACAUUGUCAUUUUCAAAAAUGGAGUAAUUAUGGCCUAUCUACCUGACUGUGCAGCUAUCAAUAAUAAUUAUUAUUAUAAAGGCCAUAUAACAGGGAAAAGCAUUAUUGAUUAGUGUUAAUAAACGGUAUAAAUUGUACAUAAACAGUGAUGUCUACUGUGUGAACAUAUACUAGAUAUGCAUGUAAACAAAAACUAGAGGUAAAUUGAAAAAAUAAAAUCAGUUUUUGCAU
rnacentral:lncRNA from 1 species